rnacentral:rRNA from 1 species
AUACGGAGGGUCCGAGCGUUAAUCGGAAUUACUGGGCGUAAAGCGCGCGUAGGUGGUUCAGUCAGUCAGAUGUGAAAGCCCCGGGCUCAACCUGGGAACUGCACCUGAUACUGCUGAGCUAGAGUACGGUAGAGGGCAGUGGAAUUUCCGGUGUAGCGGUGAAAUGCGUAGAGAUCGGAAGGAACACCAGUGGCGAAGGCGACUGCCGGGCUUGAUCCGGACACGGAGGUGCGAAGGCGGGGGUAGCAAACAGGAUUAGAUCCCCUGGUAGCCCACGCCGUAAACGAUGUCAACUAGCCGUUGGGGGACUUGAUCCUUUAGUGGCGAAGCUAACGCGAUAAGUUGACCGCCUGGGGAGUACGGCCGCAAGGUUAAAACUCAAAUGAAUUGACGGGG